GUAGUGGCGGGGUAGAUGCCGCCUACCCGCGGCAAGACGGAAAGACCCCGUGGACCUUUACUGUAGGCUUUUAUUGGUCACGAGCGAUCGCUGCGUAGGAUAGGUGGGAGGCUUUGAAGCCGGUGUUUAGGCACUGGUGGAGCCAUUGGUGAAAUACCACCCUUCGUUUGUUUGUGGCCUAACCCCGAUUCCCAUGAACCUGGGCGGGGGACAGUGAGUGCUUGUCAGUUUGACUGGGGCGGUCUCCUC
rnacentral:rRNA from 16 species